GACGAACGCUGGCGGCGUGCUUAACACAUGCAAGUCGAACGGUGAAGCGCCUUCCUUUUUGGUGGGUGUGGAUGAGUGGCGAACGGGUGAGUAACACGUGAGUAACCUGCCCCCUUCUUCUGGAUAACCGCAUGAAAGUGUGGCUAAUACGGGAUAUUCUGGGUCUGUCGCAUGAUGGGUCUGGGAAAGAUAUUGUUUCGGUGGGGGAUGGGCUCGCGGCCUAUCAGCUUGUUGGUGGGGUGAUGGCCUACGAAGGCGGUGACGGGUAGCCGGCCUGAGAGGGUGGACGGUCACACUGGGACUGAGACACGGCCCAGACUCCUACGGGAGGCAGCAGUGGGGAAUAGUGCACAAUGGGCGAAAGCCUGAUGCAGCGACGCCGCGUGAGGGAUGGAGGCCUUCGGGGUGUGAACCUCUUUCGCCAGUGAAGCAGGCCUGCCUCGUUUGUGGGUGGGUUGACGGUAGCUGGAUAAGAAGCGCCGGCUAACUACGUG
rnacentral:rRNA from 1 species